GUGAGUGCAGGGGUCCCUGAACAGAACAGUUUACCCUCCCUCCCCAGAGACACCUGGCAAUGUCUGGAGGGUGGGCUAGUGGCCGGUGGCCAGGGACGCUGCUAAACACACUGCAAUGCCCAGGACAAAGCCCACCACAGGGAGCGAUUCAGCCCAGAAUGUCAGCAGUGCUGAGGGUGAGAAACCUAUGCAUGUGGCAGUGCUGGCCUCCAGGAGGAGCUCAGGAGACAGCCCAACCCCCUUCCUGCCCACAAGGGGGCGAUGGUCCUCUCCUGUAGCUUGCUCCGAUUUAAGGGCCUUUUGCUGUCCGCUGCUGGUGAGUGACCCGGUGCCCUGGCUUUAGGAGUCGGGGCCUGAGGGCCUCGUUAGCUCCCCGAAUUCUGUGCACUCAGAGUGCAGUUCACCCCCGCGCUCCCCACUGUUGUAGAGCAGGGUCUGCAAAGCCAGGAGGGGGGAUUGCUGGAUUUGGCGCUAGCAGGCUUGGUCUUGGCGUCACUGGUAAUGCACAGGGUGGUAUCUGGGGUAGAAAGAGACGAAUCAGGCCGAUUAGCAGCGAGGUGGCGGCUGCGGUGCGGAGCGCCCCUGAGUCGCGAGGCUCCGGGACCUGCUGGUCAGCAGCAGAGGCGUGACCAAGACGCAGCCUCACACCGUGCCCCGUGGCCUGGGCCUUUCGGAGCUGCCCUCUUCAGAAGGCUCUCCCAGGCGCAGACCACCCCAUCCCCAAGCCCCAGCACGCUGGCCACUCCGCACUGGACAUCGAGGGGUCGUGCGGGGUGUGGUGUCCACGCCAGACUGAAGUUCAGGUCAGAGGGGCUCAGCCUGAGGCUGUAAGGAGAUGGAUGGGUCAGUAGGUUAGUGGCGGUAUCUCUUGGGAGGGAAUCACAGGGAAUUUUUACUUCUCAGUUAGCUUCUGCAUUUUAAAAACUUCUGCCAUGAGUAUGCAUUUCUGUAACCAAAACCUUAUUAGAGUGGAAGCUUAGCGAGGCAGGUUUGCAAAAGGACCCUGCCUGACUCUUGACCCGCCUGUGUGCCUAAAUGCGCAUGCAGCUGGGGCUUGGUCAGCCGUGGUGACCUCCUGAAGCUAUUUACAACCUGUAAGCGGUGUGUGCUCCUCCACGGGAUAUCUCAGUUCUCUGACUCUCAGGUUCUUCUUCUGUGGAGAAAAAGGGCAGAUAUGUUCUACAAAUGUCCACAGUUCCCCGUGGAGAAGGUACCUCUGGGCAUGAACAUGUGCUGGAGUGGCAUGAUGCUGGGGUCUGCCCCUCACAGCUCAAUCUCAAAGACUCCAAGCAGAGCUGCCUAUUUUAUAUUUUUCUUCCCUUCUGAAGACAUUGGCUGGCACUUGGCCUUGGUCCAGGGUGUACGCCUUCUUCAACCUGUUGACUGCAGAGUCCUCACAUUGCUUUGGGCUUGGUCCAAGUCUGUGCUUGAGUGGAGGACGGGGCUUUGAGAGGGUCCACACACCCCUUCUUCGCAGCCACGCACCUUCUUUUCCUUGCCAAGCUCUCCCUUCUCCUACUGUGACAACGAAGCAGCUGCUUCAACCUCUUCUGUAACCUGGGCUCUCCCAUCUGUCUUCAGUUUUUCCCAUGCUCAUAGCUGGUUAGAAACUUGCGGAGGGGUGUUUUUCAGACGAACUUGAGUAACUUGCCCUCGUAGAUUAGUUAAGAGUCUGUAGGUCUCGAAGGGAUUUGUGGAAAAGACCCAGCAGAGUCUGCGAGAACCCGAGGCGGCUGUGGCUGGAGCCAGGUGAGCCACAGGUUAGGGGAGUCUGGGCCUCAUCCUCUGUGAGGGUGGAUGCUCUACUGCUGUCCUCUGCCUCGGGCCCUCAUCUGUGAAAUGGGGGAACAGUGAGGACUGCCCUCCCGAGGUCGUCAUGAGGCUUAAUGUGUGAAUGCACCGACCACUCAGAGCAGCCCUCACUGCAGGGAGCAGUGUGUGUGUGUGUGUGUGUGUGUGUGUGUGUGUGUGUGUGUGUGUGUGUGUGUGUGUGUGUGUGUGUGUGUGUGUGUGUGUGUGAUUGUAGCCACCGGGCUUCGCUUUUCUCCACCAGCUCCUUCUUCACGGGGAAGCAAGGAGAGGCAUGGGAGGGAGGGAAGGAGAAUACUAGAAAAAAGAGGCAGAGGGAGGUCCCUGGGGAAGGGUUUCUGCCACUCAUGCAUGGGUGGCCUGGGGUCCAAACUUGGGGUUUUACACCAGGGCGUGUGAGCAAGGGGCGGCGGCCAGGGGCAGAGCAUUUGCAGACCGCGCGCAGGUCUGGACAGAGCAGGAAGACGCCAAGGCUCUGCCUCCUCCCAGCUGUCAAGGCCCGAGGCAACAGGUCAUCCCUUCUGAGUCCCUGAGAAAUUGGGAGGUGCUAGUGCAAGGGCACAAAGUUUCAGUUAUGCCAUAUGAAAACAGGUUCUGGAGUUCUGUUGUAUAAUAUGGUGCCUGUAGUUAACAAUACUGUAUUGUGUGCUUAAAAUUUACUGAGGAUGGCUCCUAUCUUAAGCGUUCUUACCAUACACACAAAGAAUGAUGAUAAUAGGAAUAAUAAUAAAUAAAGGAAAGAAUAUGUCGGGAGGACACCUUUGGAGUGACACAUAUGUUUACAGUGUAGAUUGUGGUGAUGGUUUCAUGGGUGUAAUCUGUCUCCAUACUCACAAAGUUGCAUGUAUUAAUCAUGUGCAGCUUUCUGUAUGUCAAUGAUACCUUCAUAAAGUGGUUUAAAAAAAUAAAAUGGGGGGGAAUAUAGUCACUCCAAGUACUGAGCACGUUGCCUGUCACAGUAAAUAAGUAAAUAAAUGUAAUUAUGGUUUAACCUUAGCUCAGGACUGAGAGUGGGUCCCACAGGUACUUGGCAGGUGGUGUCUGUGGCCAGCUCCUCCACCCUGGCUCAGCACUGCUUCUGUGAAGCACAAGGGCUCCCCAAACACAGAGACCAGCUCCAGGUGCAGCUCCUGACAAAGAAGGUGGGCUGGUCGCAGACACCUUGUUUUGGUUACUUGCUAUUCCUUCCCCCACAUGCCCUUUCAUUGUCCUGGUCCUUAACCUUUAACUCCUGUAAGAAGCUGGGUUUGCAGAUUUCUGAAGACAUUUUGCAGUGUGCAGACCUGUUUCACCUUUGUUCCCCAUCCUUGGGUCUGGAGAUAAAGGCGGGAAGACAGUACUCUAUGAAAGGAACAAUCAUAAACCUCAGGACCAAAAGUGGGGUGAAUGUUUCAUGGGUAAAGACCUUUUUCGUAACGAGUGAAGGUGAAAUGAGCAGACUGUGCGACUCAGAUUCCAGCUGCAUCCCUGUCACUGCCCUCGGGAGUGUGCCGGAAGGACCCCAGAGAGCUGGCCCGCUGGGAUGAGCUUGUAGCCUUGGGGCCCCAAACUGGAAGGAUGGUCAGCAUUCCUGGUGCUCUGGGUUCAGCAAGACCUGACUGAGGGACUCUCUUUUCUGGUUGUUGGCUGAGUAUGUAAUGUCCGCUCUGGGUCAUCUAAGGGCCGAGACCAAGUACUCUGUUCCUGCUGUGACCCGUGCUUCUGCUACCACGUGCUGCACAAGCCUGCACGAUGGACGGGACUCACCUGGUACAAGUGACGCGGGGUCGAGCUGGACUGUUGGUUUUCUGCUCCGCCUCUGCUUCCUCUCCGCAUCCUGGACUCUAAAGAAGAUGAAUGAAAUGUCUGCUCUGGUUGCUGGCUGUUUCAUCGCCAACUUAACCUCAGUCUGUGGUUGUGGAGGACCUCAGAAGUCAGGAAGGUCCCCUGACGCCAACCUGGGGAGGGUGGGGCUGGACCCAGGUUCCAGCCCAGCCCUGACACGCAGUGCGCUCAGUGGGACAUGUUGGCACGCAUGCAAGGCUGUAGCGCUGCCAGCCCCCAUAUGCUGCCUUCUUGAGGGCUGGCGGUGCCCUUCAGGACUGGCUGCAUCCUUUGUCCCAUUUGAGUGGGCAGUAGUAGAUAAUAAAAUCUCAGAAUAUCCCUUGAUCCCUGACCAUCCAGGCAGGCAUCUGUGGUCCUCCAGCUCAGGCCUGCCUGGGCCCUGUCAAGCCCCUGUGGCCAAUCACUGAGCUGACCUUGCUGCUGGGCAAUUGAACAGCUACCUGGGCAACGUAGACGGCCCCUUGGGAUGUUUCAGUUCCCUACAUCCAUGUGAUUGAGAAAAGGGCCUCCUCCCUAAUAGCCUCUCAGCCUUCCGAGAGGAAGUAACCCUCCAGACAUUGAGUGUGGCCCUGGCCACAACCAGCAUACAGCAGACCGUGGCCCUGCCAUCCUCUGGCCUUCGGGUUGUUGAAAACCUUUGACAUUCAUACUCAUUAAAAAUCAAAGGUAUGGGAGCAAGUGGCUUCCCAGCUGGUGUUUUCACUCUGAGGCCACGUGGUCUCCAGGAGCCACGUGCAUCCCGGGCCCAGUCCCUGCAGCCUCCGGAAAGCCAGCCAACUGUGGAUUCCAUGGUAUAGAAUCAUCCUUGAGACACUGCUCCGUUGAGUAACAGUUUCCUUACCACCUACCAUUUGGUUUCUGUUCUCUGUAAAGGAGAGAGCAGAGACUGGAAAAUGAGCAAAUGUGUUCUGUGGAGAUGGGUGAUUAAUAUAGUCAGAGGGCAGGUGUGACUCCUGGGCUCCCACCUCCCAGGGACACAAAUGAAGUCUGUGUGCCUUUUGAGGUACACUGGCAAUCAGGGCCAGCCUCUGAUGUGAGGCACCGAUGCCCAAAGCAAGAGUCUUGAGUUUACCACCAACAGCAAAGUUGCUAUUUUAGCAAGUGGAAGAGCUUCCUGCCAUCAAGGGAGGACAGCAAGAGCCCUGGAUGGGUGACCACAGUCACUGACCUUAACUGAACCUCUUCUUUUCUGUUAAAAUGGACAUUGAGUGGGUGUCGCCUGGAGUUUCUGGAAGCCCUGGAUGCAGUGAGAGAGAGUGUUCCUGUGAAUGGGGCCACCCAAAGGCAUUUAGCAGGACAAAGGAUUGGAGGGAGACCAGAUCACACUGCAAGAGAGUGAGCCACCAGAACUGCCAGGUCCAAAUCCACUCUUAAACCUGUCUCUUGCAGUUAUUAAUUUAUUUCUAUCAUUUAAAAAUAAUGUUUUAUUUUACUUUAGUAAGUGUGUCCAGUCCAUUGGAAUCAAAAAAGUCAUAGCUGAUACAUCAGAACGGAUAAUCCCUGAGACUCCCUUGGGUGCCCUACUGGAUGGGGCAUGGCUGGGAGAGAUGAAGACACUGAGCAGGGUCCGAACUUAGGGGAACUGCCAGACUGCUGUGUCUCUGUUCCUUCCCUGUCCCAGGAGAGCGAAAUCCCGGAACAAUGAAAGGACAAGCAAAAUGGGGAAGAGGUCUUUUGGUGGCUUAACUGUUGUGUUUGUAUUUUCCUUUGUUAUGUUCCAUUUUGUUAAUGUGUGUUUUUACUGGGAAGUUACCCAUUUCCUCUAGAUUUCUAGUGUGAUGCAAUAGGUUUCUCAUUCUAGUUUUCAACUGAAUUGUCACUUAUUAACUGACAUCCAAAUUUCAUUUGGGUUUCCUUCAUUCUAAAUUUUUGUCUUCCAGGAUGCCAUCCAGUGUAUCACGUGACAUUUAGUCAUCAUGUCUGUUUAGGCUCUUUUGGGCUUUCACAGUUUCUCAGACUGUCCUUGUUUCUAUGACCUUGACAUUGGUGAGGAGUACUGGUCAGAUAUUUUGUUGACUGUCCCGCAUUGGAAUUUACUUGGUGUUUGUCUCAGGAUUAGGCUUGAGUUAUGGGUUUUGAGUAAGCAGAUCACAGAGGUAAAGUGCUUUCUCAUCACUUUAUAUCAAGGGAACAGGCUCUCAAGGCAACUUAUCACUGUUACUAUUAACUUUGGUCACCUGGCUGAGGUAGUUUUUCAGAUUUCCCCACAAUGAAGUUAAGUUUUUCCCAUUUCCGUGCUGUGUGUCUUCUUUAGGAGGAAGCUACUUUGGGAACCAGCACUUAUGGAGACAGGAGUUAUCUCCACCUCCACAAUCCAUGGAUGGCUGAGUGUCCACAUGAAUUAUUUGGACUUCUGCAUAGGAGAUUUCUAUUCAACCUUAUUGAUGAAAACAAACAAAACAAAACCCUAUGCAGUUACUUAUUUUUACCAGCAUGGACACCUGUGGACAGUUUUUUUUGUUUGUUUUUCUUUGUUUUUUUAACUUUUUGUUAUAAUCCAGCAGUCCAGAUUUUGUUGCUAAGUUCAUUCCUACUUUGGCUAUUGAGAGCUCUUUCCAUUGGCUCCUGUUUUCUUUUGACAUCAUUCCACCCUGUGGAUUUUUUUUUCUUGAUACUUCCUUAUUUUCUGAUAUAAGAUUCAAGAUUGUCCUGGCUCAUAUAUUUACUGUGUCAGUCCUAGUGCCAGCCAUUAUUUCAAAGAGCUCUGGUUUUUUUUACUAGAGAAUGUUAUGAAAAAGUUACAUAUAGGAGCUAAAAGUGCUCAGCUGAUAAUGCAAGGAAAUAUAUGCAUGUAUUCCCACCUCUGUGUAUUGUUGGAUCUCAGGGAGGGGUGCUCCAC